CGCGGCCUAUCAGCUUGUUGGUGGGGUGAUGGCCUACCAAGGCGGUGACGGGUAGCCGGCCUGAGAGGGUGGACGGUCACACUGGGACUGAGACACGGCCCAGACUCCUACGGGAGGCAGCAGUGGGGAAUAUUGCACAAUGGGCGCAAGCCUGAUGCAGCGACGCCGCGUGAGGGAUGGAGGCCUUCGGGUUGUAAACCUCUUUCGCCAGUGAAGCAGGCCUGUCCCUUGUGGGUGGGUUGACGGUAGCUGGAUAAGAAGCGCCGGCUAACUACGUGCCAGCAGCCGCGGUAAUACGUAGGGCGCGAGCGUUGUCCGGAAUUAUUGGGCGUAAAGAGCUCGUAGGCGGCUGGUCGCGUCUGUCGUGAAAUCCUCUGGCUUAACUGGGGGCUUGCGGUGGGUACGGGCCGGCUUGAGUGCGGUAGGGGAGACUGGAACUCCUGGUGUAGCGGUGGAAUGCGCAGAUAUCAGGAAGAACACCGGUGGCGAAGGCGGGUCUCUGGGCCGUUACUGACGCUGAGGAGCGAAAGCGUGGGGAGCGAACAGGAUUAGAUACCCUGGUAGUCCACGCCGUAAACGUUGGGCACUAGGUGUGGGGGGCCUUUUCCGGGUCUUCCGCGCCGUAGCUAACGCAUUAAGUGCCCCGCCUGGGGAGUACGG
rnacentral:rRNA from 1 species